rnacentral:RNase_P_RNA from 1 species
ACUAUUGGGUAAUUGCGGCAAGGUAAACUUGUUGAGGAAAGUCCAUGCUCGCACACUCUGAGAUGGGUGUAGUGUUCGUGCAAGACCAAAAAAUAAGUCUUGGGACUAGUGAUAGUUACGGCAGAAAAAAUAGCUAAGUCUUUGAUAAGCUAGAGUAUUCUUGAAAGUGCCACAGUGACGAAGCGUAGUGGGAAACGACUACGGUGGAACGCGGUAAACCCCUCGAGCGAGCAACCCAAACAUUGGUAGGGGCGUUUGCAACAAAGGAAAUGAACUUUCGUUGCGGAGUGAAAAUUCACAGAUAGAUGAUUACCGAAAUUUUAUGUGCCUACACGUAAAAUGGAACAGAACAUGGCUUAUAGAU